CCUACGGGAGGCAGCAGUGGGGAAUAUUGCGCAAUGGGCGAAAGCCUGAUGCAGCGACGCCGCGUGAGGGAUGAAGGGUUUCGGAACGUAAACCUCUGUCAGCAUGGAAGAACGGUCACUGUGCUAAUCAGCAGUGAAUUGACGGUACCUGCAAAGGAAGCACCGGCUAACUCCGUGUCAGCAGCCGCGGUAAUACGUAGGGUUCGAGCGUGAAUCGGAAUUACUGGGCGUAAAGCGAUCGUAGGCGGUAUGUCAAGUCAAGGGUGAAAGCCCCGCGCUCAACGUGGGAACUGCUGUUGAAACUGGCAAACUGGAGUGUGUGAGAGGAUAGUGGAAUUCCAGGUGUAGGAGUGAAAUCCGUAGAUAUCUGGAGGAACAUCAGUGGCGAAGGCGACUAUCUGG
rnacentral:rRNA from 1 species